rnacentral:rRNA from 1 species
CGUGCUUAACACAUGCAAGUCGAACGAGACGAUUGAAAGCUUGCUUUUGAAAGUCGAGUGGCAAACGGGUGAGUAACGCGUAGGCAACCUGCCUUCGAGAUGGGGACAACAGUCCGAAAGGACUGCUAAUACCGAAUGUUGUGACGGAACCACAUGGAUUCGUCAUUAAAGAUGGCCUCUAUUUAUAAGCUAUCGCUCGAAGAUGGGCCUGCGUCUGAUUAGCUAGUUGGUGGGGCAACGGCCUACCAAGGCGACGAUCAGUAGCCGGUCUGAGAGGAUGAACGGCCACAUUGGAACUGAGACACGGUCCAUACUCCUACGGGAGGCAGCAGUAGGGAAUCUUCCACAAUGGGCGCAAGCCUGAUGGAGCAACACCGCGUGAGUGAAGAAGGGUUUCGGCUCGUAAAGCUCUGUUGUUGGAGAAGAACGUGCGUGAGAGUAACUGUUCACACAGUGACGGUAUCCAACCAGAAAGUCACGGCUAACUACGUG